UGCAAGUCGAACGGUGAAGAGAAGCUUGCUUCUCGGAUCAGUGGCGGACGGGUGAGUAACACGUGAGCAACCUGCCUUUAAGAGGGGGAUAACGUUUGGAAACGAACGCUAAUACCGCAUAACAUAGAAGAUUCGCAUGUUUCUUCUAUCAAAGAUUUAUCGCUUAAAGAUGGGCUCGCGUCUGAUUAGCUGGUUGGUGAGGUAACGGCUCACCAAGGCGACGAUCAGUAGCCGUACUGAGAGGUAGAACGGCCACAUUGGGACUGAGACACGGCCCAGACUCCUACGGGGAGGCAGCAGUGGGGAAUAUUGCACAAUGGAGGGAACUCUGAUGCAGCGAUGCCGCGUGAGGGAAGAAGGUUUUAGGAUUGUAAACCUCUGUCUUCAGGGACGAUAAUGACGGUACCUGAGGAGGAAGCUCCGGCUAACUACGUGCCAGCAGCCGCGGUAAUACGUAGGGAGCGAGCGUUGUCCGGAAUUACUGGGUGUAAAGGGAGCGUAGGCGGG
rnacentral:rRNA from 1 species